AUGGCCAAGCAAGUAUAUGAGUGCAAUUGGGUUCCUUCUCGCGUCACAGAGGAUCAACUGGACGAUUUAGUCCUGAUUGACGCUUUAGGCAGCAAAGAUACCAUCCAUUGGAGGGCUCCUGGCAAAGAAUGCCCUCCCACACCUCGAGAAGGAGAGGUUGUUGUUUUCGUAGAUCACUUAGCCUGGGGCUUUAAGCCGUCCGGUUCUAAAUUUUACCGGGAUGUUUUAGCCGAUUUCCAACUCCAUCCGCAAGACACUGGCCCCAACUCUGUUACAAAUAUGUGCCACUUCCAAGUGCUCUGUGAGGUGUUCUUUCAAGAGGAGCCCACAGUGGAAUUGUUCAGAGACCUUUUCCAUCUAAACGGUCAUACUGAGUUUACUGAUGGCUCUAAUUCGGAGUUGGGUGGCAUGGCGAUUCAGAAAAGGAAAGAGGUCACAUACCCUCACGCCAAGCUGCACAGUCACCCCAAGGAGUGGAAUCAGACAUGGUUCUAUUGCAAAGACACCUCCCUUGCUGGUGAGAAUCCCUUGCCUGGCUUUCGUUCGGAGCGGCUGAGCAAUACACACCCUUUUCCUCAAAGAUUGACUGCCCAGGAGAGAAGCAAAUAUGCUCCCCAGUUGUCAAAGCUCAGAGCCUUUAUGGCCAACGGUUUAACAGGGGUUGAUCUCGCUCGCUGUUGGAUAUCAUGGAGCAUACCGCCCCUUAGUCAGCGCUCCGGUUUGAUGUGCGAGUAUACUGACAGUGUUGAUGACCCACUGCGACAUUCAAAACUCCUGCUCUUCGAUGAAGAAAUCACAGAGGCUGUGCAUAAGAUACUGAAUGAACCGGAACACGUCUGCGCUAGAACCGGCCUGCUUCUCUUCUGUGCCACCAACAAACCGCCAGCUGUAAGACUUUGA
rnacentral:rRNA from 1 species